CCCUUAGAUGUUCUGGGCCGCACGCGCGCUACACUGAUGCAUUCAACAAGUUUUACCUUGGCCGAGGGGCCUGGGAAAUCUUUCAAAUAUGUAUCGUGAUAGGGAUAGAUUAUUGCAAUUAUUAAUCUUGAACGAGGAAUUCCUAGUAAAUGCAGAUCAUCAUUCUGCGUUGAUUACGUCCCUGCCCUUUGUACACACCGCCCGUCGCACCUACCGAUUGAAUGAUCCGGUGAAGCCUCGGGAUUGUGCCCAGAGAACUUUAUUGUGAUUUGGGUGUGAGAACUUGUCUAAACCUUAUCAUUUAGAGGAAGGUGAAGUCGUAACA
rnacentral:rRNA from 1 species